UUGAAGCAAAUCGAUUUCAAAUUAGUUUUCUAUACCACAAAGUAGUUUUAUAGUUCCUCAUAAUAGUUUGUUAAUAGUGACAACGUUUAUUAAAUUGGCUUCUAUAUACGUAAUUUGUUUUGUUGAACUAUCAAAGUAAACACAUCUAUCUAGGAAUGUGACCUCUUUUGUGAAUACAAAAUUGAAUAGUGCGAAAACAAUUGAUGGUUUUGAAGAUACAAAAUGCUGGUUUACAGUAUACGAUGAUUGGUCUAAGAUGUAUAAUUUUUCAACAAAUUAGUGGCACAGAUAAUCAAGGUGAAGAAGUUAUUUAAACAGUUGAUGUGUUGUGAUAAAUUGCAUUCGUUAUUGUGUUUGUGUGCCGUCAACAUGAAACGUUUGACAGUCUUAUUUGUUUUGUUCACAAUCGUAAUUAGUUUACAACAAACGAAUGCGGAAUGUCCUCCGGGUCAAUACGAUCCUGGUCCCGACUGUUCCUUCGAAGUCAUCUGUGGACUUCCAAGCGCUCAUUCGGCGAGACGACACUACUGCGACUGCUGGUGUAACCCUGGGACCGUCAGGGACAGCAUCACCAAUGAGUGCGUCGAAAAAUGUCCGUAGUUUAAUUGCACAUUGAUUUUUAAGUACCUAAGUAUGUUUGUUUUAAGUUAUUUAAAUGUUUAAUGUGGGAUUGAGUGUUGAGUUUCAUUAAUAACUGUUUAAUUUCUGGACUCUAUAUAUAUAAAUCUCGUCUAUAAAAGAGGGCAUUGCCGUAACCUCCAUGCCUGACAAGUGGGUUGGAGUUUAUAGUAUAAAGUUAAGUAUUCACGCUUAAUGCAAGUAAAUAUACCUAUGUAUAUGAAUAAAGCGACAAAGAAAACUAUUUGUAGAAAUAAGGUCAAAUUCGUUUUAUAUCCUUAUCUUUAACCCAGAUAUGCAUAUGUCAGACCUCUGGACAUAAUAUUUAUUUUUCAUUCUGAUAUCUAAUUUAUGUCGUAUGAAUACUUUACUCAUGUAUCGUUAUAUUUCUAGGUCAAUAAUUUUAAUUCAUAAAUAUGUAAUUACUUAAUUAUUAUUAUUGUUGUAGAACUUUGUUCUAGUAGUUGUUUAUCACGACUGUUGGUCACAAAGUCGUAAUUAUGUAGGUACUAUGUAUAAGGUUAAAAUGUAUGUAUUAAAUCUGAAUACAAAUGA